rnacentral:rRNA from 1 species
UAGUCCACGCCGUAAACGAUGUCUACUAGGUUGUGGGUGUUCUGACACAGUCACAGCCGGAGCAAAAGUGUUAAGUAGACCGCCUGGGGAGUACGGUCGCAAGGCUAAAACUCAAAGGAAUUGACGGGGGCUCACACAAGCGGUGGAGCAUGUGGAUUAAUUCGAAGCAACGCGCAGAACCUUACCUGGGUUUGACAUGUUUGGAUGCUUGCCUGGAAACAGGUUAAGUUGCCCUUCGGGGUGAAACUUACACAGGUGCUGCAUGGCUGUCGUCAGCUCGUGUCGUGAGAUGUCGGGUUAAGUCCUUUAACGAGCGAAACCCUUGCCGUUAGUUGCCAGCGAGUAAUGUCGGGGACUCUAGCGGGACUGCCGGUGUUAAACCGGAGGAAGGCGGGGAUGACGUCAAGUCCUCAUGGCCUUUAUGCCCAGGGCUUCACACGUGCUACAAUGGCCACUACAAAGCGAAGCGAGACCGCGAGGUGGAGCAAAUCGCAAAAAGUGGCCUCAGUUCGGAUU